rnacentral:rRNA from 1 species
UGUUUCGGCUAGGGGGUCAUCCCGACUUACCAACCCGAUGCAAACUGCGAAUACCGAAGAAUGUUAUCACGGGAGACACACGGCGGGUGCUAACGUCCGUCGUGAAGAGGGAAACAACCCAGACCGCCAGCUAAGGUCCCAAAGUCAUGGUUAAGUGGGAAACGAUGUGGGAAGGCACAGACAGCCAGGAUGUUGGCUUAGAAGCAGCCAUCAUUUAAAGAAAGCGUAAUAGCUCACUGGUCGAGUCGGCCUGCGCGGAAGAUGUAACGGGGCUAAACCAUGCACCGAAGCUGCGGCAGCGACACUAUGUGUUGUUGGGUAGGGGAGCGUUCUGUAAGCCGUUGAAGGUGGCCUGUGAGGG